GGGCCCAUAGCUUAGCUGGUAGAGCACCGCAUUCGCAUUGCGGCGGCACCGGUUCGACUCCGGUUGGGUCCA
rnacentral:tRNA from 1 species